rnacentral:rRNA from 1 species
CACGGGGGUUGCGAGCGUUGUCCGGAAUUACUAGGCGUAAAGGGCAGGCAGGCGGAUCCAUAAGUUUAUCGUUUAAGGCGUCGGCUUAACCGGCGUAGGGCGGUAGAUACUGUGGAUCUGGAAUGCGGUUGGGGAAGACAGAAUUCCUGGUGUAGCGGUGGAAUGUGCAGAGAUCAGGAGGAAUACCGAAGGCGAAGGCAGUCUUCCAAGCCGUUAUUGACGCUCAACUGCGAAGGUGUGGGUAUCAAACAGGAUUAGAUACCCGUGUAGUCCCUGA